rnacentral:rRNA from 1 species
UGGGGAAUAUUGCGCAAUGGAGGAAACUCUGACGCAGCAACGCCGCGUGAAGGAUGAAGGUUUUCGGAUCGUAAACUUCUUUAAUCUGUGACGAAAAAAAUGACGGUAGCAGAGGAAUAAGCCCCGGCUAACUACGUGCCAGCAGCCGCGGUAAUACGUAGGGGGCAAGCGUUGUCCGGAUUUACUGGGUGUAAAGGGUGCGUAGGCGGGUAUUUAAGUCAGAUGUGAAAACCACGGGCUCAACUUGUGGACUGCAUUUGAAACUGGAUAUCUUGAGUACAGGAGAGGAAAGCGGAAUUCCUAGUGUAGCGGUGAAAUGCGUAGAUAUUAGGAGGAACACCAGUGGCGAAGGCGGCUUUCUGGACUGUAACUGACGCUGAGGCACGAAAGUGUGGGGAGCAAACAGG